rnacentral:rRNA from 1 species
CCUACGGGGGGCAGCAGUGGGGAAUAUUGGACAAUGGGGGGAACCCUGAUCCAGCCAUGCCGCGUGUGUGAAUAAGGCCCUCGGGUUGUAAAGCACUUUCAGUGAGGAAGAACGCCUGGUGGUUAAUACCCAUCAGGAAAGACAUCACUCACAGAAGAAGCACCGGCUAACUCCGUGCCAGCAGCCGCGGUAAUACGGAGGGUGCGAGCGUUAAUCGGAAUUACUGGGCGUAAAGCGCGCGUAGGUGGCUUGAUAAGCCGGUUGUGAAAGCCCCGGGCUCAACCUGGGAACGGCAUCCGGAACUGUCAAGCUAGAGUGCAGGAGAGGAAGGUAGAAUUCCCGGUGUAGCGGUGAAAUGCGUAGAGAUCGGGAGGAAUACCAGUGGCGAAGGCGGCCUUCUGGACUGACACUGACACUGAGGUGCGAAAGCGUGGGUAGCAAACAGGAUUAGAUACCCUUGUAGUC